rnacentral:lncRNA from 1 species
AGGAAAAGUUGUAACAAGAUACAGGGCUAAGGUAUGAAAAGGAAGAUGACGAUUACAAAAAAGAAGAUUAGAAAGCAGGCACCAUACUACACGGUGUGUAACCAAACCUCCAUUAGGGGGUGCAGGGACUGUUUCGCUCAAUGUAGAAGCAUUUUGAACUUGUCAGUGAAUUUCCUUUUACAUUGCUGGACUGUUGGAUCAAUGUCGCUGAACAUCGAACCAUUUCUUGUUUUCCAAAUACUCCAGGUCAUAAGGAUUAUUAUUUCCAUGGAGGACGGAAGCGCUAGUCUGUUC